UUGCAGCAGAAGCCCUACCUCCCCAACCCACGCCAGCACUCCCACCCCAACCGCAAGCCCCACAACCACAGCCGGCUCCUCAUCAACCAAGGCAACGGAGGCGUGCUAGGCCACCAAUUUUCCGAACCCGUGUCCUACUUUUUGGGAUGCCAGAUGAUGUGGUGGUGCGUAGAUACCGGCUGCCACCACAUCUAAUCCUAGACACUCUCUCCAUAAUAGAGAGUGAUCUGGAGUCUGAAAUUCGGUAUCCUACAGCAAUACCACCAUUGACACAAUUCCUUGCAGUGUUACAUUUUUUGGCUACAGCCUCAUAUCAGCAUGUUGUGGGAGACCUGGUUGGCAUGUCGCAGGGCCAGUUCAGUAAGGUCCUGCGGCGUGUCUGCCAGGCUUUCCUAAAGCGGGUGAAGCAGUUCAUUGAUAUGCCUUUGGAUGUUGGUGCCCUAGAUGUGGUGAAGCGGCAAUUUGCGGAAGGUGGUAGUCGCUUCCCACAUGUUAUUGGGGUUGUGGAUGGCACACAUGUUGCUAUUCAGCCACCAAGACAUAAUGAAGAAAUUUUUAGAAACAGGAAACUGUUUCAUUCUCUGAAUGUAAUGGUUGUUUGUGGGCCAUCCCUCCAGAUCCUUUUCCCUGAAUGCAAAGUUUACUGGAAGUUCCCAUGAUGCAUAUGUCAUUAGACAAUCAGGGAUAUGGCAGAGAUUAAGAUCAAGUCAACGAGCAGACAUGUGGUUAUUGGGUGAGUUUUUGCUUUAAUUUUUGAAACAAACAAAAAUAACUUGACAAAUAUACUAUUUUGAAAUAUUGGAUUAUCUACCAACAGGAGACCGUGGAUAUCCUUGCACCCCCUGGCUCAUGACUCCUUACCGUAAUCCCAGGCCAGGACCACAGAUGGCAUUUAACUCCGCGCUUACUGCCACUAGGCAGCUGGUGGAGCGCACAAUUGGUGUCCUUAAAGGGCGGUUUCGUGUGCUCCACCGCACUGGUGGCGACAUCAUGUAUUCGCCGGAGAUGGCAAGUAAAAUAGUGGUCCUGUGCGCAAUACUACAUAAUAUCGCGGUAAGGAGUAGUGUAGAGCUUCCUCAGGCAGAGGAAUUGCCUGAUGAGGAGCCAGGGGUUGGUCCACGCUUCGGUGGGGGGAGUGUGACACGGAGGGGGAGCCAAGUGAGGGCAAGAAUUGUUGCAGAAUAUUUCAGCUGAAUGAUCACACGAACUGUGGACAACAACAACGGCAAAACUCACCACCCCCUUCCCCUUCCCACUCCCCCUCACCUUCACACUCCCCCUCCCCUUCUCACUCCCCCUCCCCUUCACAGUCCCCCUCAGCUUCCCAGUCCCCCUCAGCUUCCCAGUCCCCCUCAGCUUCCCAGUCCACCUCAUCUUCCCAGUCCACCUCAGCUUCCCAGGCCCCAUCAGCUUCCCUGGCCCACUCCACUUUCCAUUCCCCUUCUCACCACACCUCUCCAUCUCUUUCUGGGACCCCUUCUCCUCCUUCCCAUACCCCUUCUCCUUCUAAUUCUACAUCCCAAUCUGAACCCCCCACACCCUCUAUUGCCUUAACUUUCUCUCCGCCCCCCUCGCCCUCUCAAUCAGACCCCCCCUCUGAAAUUGGCAACCAAAUCCAGCCUCCUUCCCCCAUCCAGCCUCCUGCCCCAAUCCCUCCUCCUUCCCCAAUCCCUCCUCCUUCCCCAAUCCCUCCUCCUUCCCCCAUCCAGCCACCUUCCCCCAUCCAGCCAACAUCCCCACCCAGUGAAUGGGCAGAGGAAGCCCCUGCAGACCGGUCCGGGAGUCUUGAGGUUGCCGUGGAAAAUGUUGCAGUUGGAGAUCCAACAAGUUUAUCCGGGAUUCUUUACACCAUGCGCCUACACCUGCAAGGAAUAAUGAAUUGUGUUGACCA